GAUGAACGCUGGCGGCGUGCCUAAUACAUGCAAGUCGAGCGAACGGACGAGAAGCUUGCUUCUCUGAUGUUAGCGGCGGACGGGUGAGUAACACGUGGAUAACCUACCUAUAAGACUGGGAUAACUUCGGGAAACCGGAGCUAAUACCGGAUAAUAUUUUGAACCGCAUGGUUCAAAAGUGAAAGACGGUCUUGCUGUCACUUAUAGAUGGAUCCGCGCUGCAUUAGCUAGUUGGUAAGGUAACGGCUUACCAAGGCAACGAUGCAUAGCCGACCUGAGAGGGUGAUCGGCCACACUGGAACUGAGACACGGUCCAGACUCCUACGGGAGGCAGCAGUAGGGAAUCUUCCGCAAUGGGCGAAUGCCUGACGGAGCAACGCCGCGUGAGUGAUGAAGGUCUUCGGAUCGUAAAACUCUGUUAUUAGGGAAGAACAUAUGUGUAAGUAACUGUGCACAUCUUGACGGUACCUAAUCAGAAAGCCACGGCUAACUACGUG
rnacentral:rRNA from 1 species